rnacentral:rRNA from 1 species
CCUACGGGUGGCAGCAGUGGGGAAUAUUGCACAAUGGGGGAAACCCUGAUGCAGCGACGCCGCGUGAGUGAAGAAGUAAUUCGGUAUGUAAAGCUCUAUCAGCAGGGAAGAAAAUGACGGUACCUGAGUAAGAAGCCCCGGCUAACUACGUGCCAGCAGCCGCGGUAAUACGUAGGGGGCAAGCGUUAUUCGGAUUUACUGGGUGUAAAGGGAGCGUAGACGGCAGUGCAAGUCUGGAGUGAAAGGCGGGGGCUCAACCCCCGGACUGCUCUGGAAACUGUACGGCUGGAGUGCAGGAGAGGUAAGUGGAAUUCCUAGUGUAGAGGUGAAAUGCGUAGAUAUUAGGAGGAACACCAGUGGCGAAGGCGGCUUACUGGACUGUAACUGACGUUGAGGCUCGAAAGCGUGGGGAGCAAACAGGAUUAGAUACCCCUGUAGUC